CCUACGGGGGGCAGCAGUGGGGAAUAUUGCACAAUGGGGGAAACCCUGAUGCAGCGACGCCGCGUGAGUGAAGAAGUAAUUCGUUAUGUAAAGCUCUAUCAGCAGGGAAGCAAAUGACGGUACCUGAGUAAGAAGCCCCGGCUAACUACGUGCCAGCAGCCGCGGUAAUAAGUAGGGGGCAAGCGUUAUCCGGAUUUACUGGGUGGAAAGGGAGCGUAGACGGGAGUGCAAGGCUGGAGUGAAAGGGGGGGGCUCAACCCCCGGACUGCUCUGGAAACUGGACGGCUGGAGUGCAGGAGAGGUAAGUGGAAUGCGUAGUGUAGCGGUGAAAUGCGUAGAUAUUAGGCGGAACACCAGUGGCGAAGGCGGCUUACUGGACUGUAACUGACGUUGAGGCUCGAAAGCGUGGGGAGCAAACAGGAUUAGAUACCCGGGUAGUC
rnacentral:rRNA from 1 species